UCCUUGGUAGUUCAAUGGUAGAACGCGGCACUGUUAAUGCCGAUGUUGCAGGUUCGAAUCCUGCCCAAGGAG
rnacentral:tRNA from 1 species